rnacentral:misc_RNA from 1 species
GGAAUCUUGAAUGUCGUUCAAGCUAUGGAAUUGUCUACAGAACUUGUUUAUCCCCUCUAUGUGGCUGCCUCUUCAGAUUGUCAAGAGUCUAUUGUUAAGAGAGGAGAGGAGCUUCACAAGAAGAAUGCUUCUGGUGUGAAUUUGGAGGAUGCAAACCUCGUGAGCAAACUGUUUGUGCUAUUUAAUGGUACCGCUGGAACUGACCAAAUUCCACCAGAGUCUAGAGUUAGUCCUGGAAAUCCAUCUUUGAGAGCAAAA